UUACAAAUUAUAAAAAAUUCAAACCUAAAUAAAAAUUACAUUAAAUAAUUUAAAAUUUACAAAAUAGUCCCUAAAACUCCAGAAAUUGCAUUGAAGACCUUCUGCAAGCCAGAACAGUGCGCAGGACCAUGGGCACCGCUUGGAGCCACGCGCCCC